rnacentral:rRNA from 1 species
UACGGGGGAGCAACGUUGUUCGGAAUCACUGGGCGUAAAGGGCGUGUAGGCGGCUGAAUAAGUGGGAUGUUAAAUCCCCCGGCUCAACCGGGGACCUGCAUCUCAUACUGUUCAGCUCGAGCACAUCAGAGGAGACUGGAAUUCCCGGUGUAGCGGUGAAAUGCGUGAGAUAUCGGGAGGAACACCAGUGGCGAAGGCGAGUC